AUUAGUUUGGGAGGGGGAUGGGUCCCUGACUCUUUUGGUGACUAGAAUUGGGCUGUGUGCUCUCCCUGGUUAUUUAUGUACAUUGUACCCUGCCUUCCCCACCCCCUGGGAACUUCUAGCGGAAUAUAAACAGUCAUAAUUGCAACAUUCAGUUACCAUUGGAUUCAAGUUGGAAUUUUCUGUUCAUGCCACUUGCAGACAUUUGACAACUCUCCCAAAAUGAGGAAACUUGUGAGAUUAGUGUUCCCUUUGUAAUUGUUGAUGAUGUUUCAAGAAGUAUAUAGAAAAAUCACUCUGGCUAUUUCUUGAUAAUUUCCAGUGGACUUUUAUUUUUUUAUUUUUUUUUAAAGGAACAUCUAAUAUGUACUAUGGAUAUUCUGCCCGCAUUCUGAAGUCUGUAGCUUUAAACUUAGCACCUGUCAGAAGCAAGGACGGACAUCUUAGAACACUAAUUUACAGCUUACGCGUUCACUGUUAAAAAUCAUUUAUCCAUCUUCAAUAUACCUCCCCAUAUAUUUAGCAUGUGUAAUUUAUCAGGGUGGAAGAGUUUUUCUACCCAGCCAAGCCAGGGACUGGUUGGUCACUCUGUGAUAUAUUAAAUGAAUUGUGCAAAAAACAAUGUCAAUUGUCAUGAGAAACAGAGCAAGAGGAAGAGAUGAGAAAAAACAUAGGGCAAGGCAGCAAAUUCAUUGUUAUUAAAGUGCCCAGAAAAAAUGCUGUAAGGAGUGAGAGAGCCUGAUUUCCUUGUUCUCCUGAAAUUAUGGACCAGACCCUAGACAUGUAAUGAGACAGAGCAGGGAACAAGGGAGAAGAAAAAGGAGAUAAAGAAUGGACGUUAGCAAAGUUUGGAGACACAGAGAAAAAGAAGCAGAGGACAUUAAAAGUCUGGAUAUAUUUUCUCCUGGUUGGAACAUGCACAGAUGAAACUAAAUACCAGGGCUUUUUCAUAUAGUCACCAAUUCCUAUAGCUAAAUACUUGACUUAUGGUAUUUCAAAGUAGCGUUUAUGUAGAUUAUAGGUCCAUAGUUCUUCAUCCUUUUUCAAAUAAAGAAUACCUUACAUAGAAAAAUUUGGGUUUGGCCAGCUUGCACCCAGCUGAUACAGGUUAACAGCUUCCUAAUGGAUGGUUUGGAAAAGAGCGGUUUCAGCAUUUUCUACCAACUGGUGAGAAGGAAAAGCUGUUGAAAUCUGAGCAGCAAAAAUAAUACGUGCCUGAGGAAGGGCUGUACCCAAAGCUGUUCUUAAAGGCUGGAUGCACAUCUCACUUCUAACACCGGUGUGCAUUUUCUGAUUUUCACCUUGAUGGCCCUUGAGAAAGGCCGAGGGAUGCUGGAGAGCCCAGGCCCACCCUGAUUCCUUCUGAAGAAUGUGGCAGAGUAAGAUGUGGAAACAGGGAGGAGCAGCUGCUUCUCUCAUCACUGACACCUAAGGAGAACGUCUUGGGAGGGGAGGGUCCAUGCAUAAUGAUAAGUUAAACCUGCUGCUUCAGUUUAAAUGAAGCGAGUACCUGGUGAGAAGCGUUGGAGUUUCUUUAGAAGCAGAUUUAGACCUUGGUUUAGAAGCAGAUUUAGACCUUCGGCAGCAUCUCAAAGAUAUGGCUGUUAACAUUGUGGCUUUAGUGUUUUUGAGGAGUCCCUGAAGGAUCCCAUCUCCUAGGAAUGAAAGCAAGCCAUUUCCUUUUGGUCCCAGUUUGUUUACGGAGCCCCUGGAAUAGGUCACCUCCUUCUCAGCAUAUCAUUGCUUGGCAGAAGUCCGUGAAUUAUCGACCAGUUCCUGAAGCCUCUGACUCAAGACCACAGGUUCUUGACCUUCCUUUGGUCUGUGGAUGCAUUUGGCAGCCUGCUGAAGCCCAUAAACUCCUUCCUCAGUGUUUUAAGAACAGGAAAUGAUUAUUCCCAAGAUCAAAAUGGAUCAGUACCAAGGUCAAGAUGGAAAGGGUAAGGAAGCGAGCACACUGCAGUCUUCUGGGGAGUUGAUAAUACUCUAUGUCUUGACCUGGGCAGACGUCAUUCAGGUAAAACUGCCUGGAACCAAUCAGCCAGGUCUUGAACAGCCAUGAAAAGUGCUGCAUGAACAGCAUUCACAAGCUUCAAUGCAGAUGUUUCCCGGGGCUCCACAGUUAGGCAUCCUCUGGCACAGCACAAGGGGGAGAACUCAGUCUGUCUUCCAAGAGCAAAUUAAACACAGCUUUGUGGGUUUGAGGGUUGGCUGCCAAUGGGAAGACUGAUCCCUGAAUUAAGAGUUCAUGACAGGAUGACUCCGGAGUUCUUGGCAGAAAGCAGGGUUUCCAAUACUAAUUCUCCUCAUGGUGAGAAAAGUCAUGUAUUCGAAGUGGCCCAUAGUCACGGGUAGUAUUUGCAUAAAGGAUCAGCUCUAUUUAUUCAAUGCCAAGAUCCCCAAGAUGAAGGAGAUGAAUGUGGUCAUGUUUCUGAGCCACUACGAACCCUGUAAACACUUUAACUGCAGAGGAUGCACCAUCAACGGGACAGGCUUUCACAUGAGAUUUGGCUCCAUAUGAAUAUGAAUUUCCCUCUGUGGUGGAUGAGAGCAGAAUCUUACAGUGGAAGCCCUGCUACAAGGAGAUAUGGUAAAGCUGCCAGACGGUUAAAUAAAUGGUCUCUUACAAUUUGUUUAUACCUUGACUGAGCACAUUUCAAUAAAGAAGAAAAAUUUUAACUGUCUGAAAGGAGAUAGGAAAGAGAUUUCUGAGUCUAUGCUGGUGUUUGACCUUUAUCUCUUUUCAGGAACUUUAUUUUUCUGAACAUUGAGGAGAGAACAGUAAGAAAGUUGUUUCCAAAGAUGGGGUGGAGGGAAUCCUACGUCUGUUAAAAUAACCAAGUGAGCUUCUUUUAGCCAAAUCAGAGUCUUUUUCACAAUAAUUUGUAUUGGAAAUAGAAAUCAAGGUCUGUAGUGUCAAAAAAAUCUUUGUCUUUUUCCUACUUUCAUUGUGAUGCAUCUUGAUUUAAUAUGACACUAACUCAACCCUUGUAUGAAGAUUAAAGAAAGAAAAGAAUGAACAAUUCUAAGGUUUGAAGUUCAUGCUUUUUUCCUUGCAAGUUGCAUGACUGAAAAUUGUGCUGUUUUUGGUUUGUGAGAUUACCGAAUUUUAUCCUACAAUGCAUGUCACCAGGACCACUAUAGGAAAGUUUGACUAAUAAUGAGGUCUCAAAACCAACUACUUUGGCUAUUUUCGCCAUUUUCAACCACCAGAACCAGCUGCUCUCCAUAAGAGAUGCCUCUCUGGCCAUGUCUAUCCUGGUAUACAGGACCUGUGGGAAGGUAUUGGCUAAAGCAUGCCAGUGUAGCCCUUAUUUAUUUAUAAUGGGAUUGGCAAACACAUCCAGAGCCAGCUGUUCCUUGGAAACUUCUAGGGAUACAAUCAUUUGCCAUUUGUCAAAGAUAGAUGGGUGAGUAUUGUGGUUAAGUGUUCAGAUACUGAGAUCAGAUGGAUCCACCUAAGCUGUGUGACUUUAGACAAGUUACUAAACCUCUCUGACCUUCAAUUUUAUCAUCUCUAACAUGAGGAUCAUACCAGUAUAUAACACAGCAUUGUC